CCUAAAAUCCUAAAAACCCUAAAAGUAAAAUAUCAUACUUCUGGAGCCGCCGACCAAACACCCAUCUCUCUUUCUCUCUCUCCCAUCCUCUCAUGAUCUCAUCCUUUCGAGCUCUCUGAGUCUCUGGUUUAUCCGCAAGGCGACCAUGGGUCGACGGUCGAACUCUCGUCCUCCUUUUAUAAGCGAGGAGGUUCUUCAGCAGGUUGCAUUCCCUUUCCUCGUGGUCAAUCAAUUUUUUCAUCCACUUCAUCUCCCACUACUCAAGAAGGUUUCUUGAAAGUGACUCUCAUGUCAAAUACUGGCUUACCUUUGAAAAGGAUCUUUAUUAAUUUGGUUGAUACUUGAUAAGGACAGGCAUAACAUUUGAUUUGGAUAUUUGGGUUACAAAUUUACAAUGAAAUUUAAUUUAAUGAAUCAUAAUUUCAUAUUGUUUC